UUCGGGUGGAGCGGCGGACGGGUUAGUAACGCGUGGGAACAUACCCUUUUCUAUGGAAUAGCCUCGGGAAACUGAGAGUAAUACCAUAUACGCCCUUCGGGGGAAAGAUUUAUCGGUGAAGGAUUGGCCCGCGUAAGAUUAGAUAGUUGGUGGGGUAAUGGCCUACCAAGUCUACGAUCUUUAGCUGGUUUUAGAGGAUGAUCAGCAACACUGGGACUGAGACACGGCCCAGACUCCUACGGGAGGCAGCAGUGGGGAAUCUUAGACAAUGGGCGCAAGCCUGAUCUAGCCAUGCCGCGUGAGUGAUGAAGGUCUUAGGAUCGUAAAGCUCUUUCGCUAGGGAUGAUAAUGACAGUACCUAGUAAAGAAGCCCCGGCUAACUCCGUGCCAGCAGCCGCGGUAAUACGGAGGGGGCUAGCGUUGUUCGGAAUUACUGGGCGUAAAGCGUACGUAGGCGGAUCAGAAAGUAAGGGGUGAAAUCCCA
rnacentral:rRNA from 1 species